UACGUAGGGUCCGAGCGUUGUCCGGAAUUAUUGGGCGUAAAGGGCUCGUAGGCGGUUCGUCACGUCGGGAGUGAAAACUCGGGGCUUAACCCCGAGCCUGCUUCCGAUACGGGCAGACUGGAGGUAUGCAGGGGGAGAACGGAAUUCCUGGUGUAGCGGUGAAAUGCGCAGAUAUCAGGAGGAACACCGGUGGCGAAGGCGGUUCUCUGGGCAUGUCCUGACGCUGAGGAGCGAAAGUGUGGGGAGCGAACAGG
rnacentral:rRNA from 1 species